AUACAAUUUAAUGCUAGCCCGCUAAAUGUUACAAUGCUAGAAGAAGAAAACCCCAAAACACAACUUGGUAUUGAGCGUACUAUUCGAACGGGCUAUAAUCACUCAAGCCGCUAGCAUUUCAGGAGCGUGCGAGCGAACAUAUCAUACGAAAUACAAGGGGUUUGUUACAUAUAGUAUUCCAUGAACAGUAUGUUUUUAAGAAAUUAAAACUGAUCUUUUCUUAUUCAGGAAAAUAUAUAUAUUGUUUAAGGAGGGCUUUUAUAACACUAAUAAUAUACUAAUGUUUGAGACCGGUCUGUGCCAUUUAUAACACAGUCGACUUUUCUAUUCAUUGUUUAGAAGGACACAUGAUUAAUUUAUGGCAUCACAGAUGCUUUAACAACACUCCCAUCCAGGACAUUUUAAGGUUAAGGGACACUCUAAACACCAAAAUAAUGUCAGCUUAUGUUUAGCAGCUUUGGUAUAUAGAUCAUACUUAUGCAGUCUUGUUCUUUCCAUGUCAUUUAGGAGUUUAAUAAUUUUAGAUAUACAGCCCUCGCCACACCUCCCCUGGCUGUGACUUGAGUAACAAAAGCUUUUUUUGUUUGUUUGUUUUUUUACAACUCAGUGUAUUAAAUCAACUUUAGAAGUUAUCUCAUGUUCUG